rnacentral:lncRNA from 1 species
UCUGACAUUGUACACUGAAAUUUCAAAUUAGCCUUGCAUCCUAAUAAAAUUAUACCGCUUUCUGGAUCGUUACACAAUACAAAGUCAUCAUCUUUGUUUGUAACAACACCAAUAUCAUCCAUUAGUCUGUGAAAUUCUGCUCGAUUUUUAGAUUAAGCCGGACGCAGUUUUCUUCUCUCUCUAUACAUGGACUGACACACAUAUUUUAAAUCUUUCUUUUCUAAAUUUUCUUCUUCAAUUUUGAAGAUCUCUGAAUUUAUUAUUUUUGAAGGUCGCUCUGACAACAUAUUGGUUGCUUUUCUUUUACACGCAGUUCUCAAAAUUUGACGUUCUAAUUUCUGGACACUGAUAAUGAAAAAAAUAUAUUUCUUUUUACAAAUGAAAGUAUGAUAUUUUAUACUACCAAAAUCUGCUAUGAAAUUUAAAAAAAGCGAAAAUGUAUUUUAUACUCGUGAUAGUUGACUUGUUUUUGCAUUUAAAUUUUAAGAAUUUUUUUUUUAUAGUCUCUCAAAACUCUUUAUAGAGUGGCUCUUGUUGUUAACUUGUGUUUUAAAAAGCUGUAUAUUUUAUAUGUAACAAGUGGCGAGACUUUAAUAAAGUAUUUGUCUUGUCUUGUCUUGUCUUGAUAUAGGUAAAACAUGUACAGGUAUGAUAUAGGUAACAAAUAUUAAUAGGUAAAUGUGGCGCAAUUUCAUUUCAUUUAUUGGCGCAAUUAAUACCAUCAAAAUAAAAGAGAGUGGCGCAAUUAAUAUCUUUUCAAAACUGCAAUUGGCGCAAAUUGAUUCUGCCCAG